rnacentral:misc_RNA from 1 species
UGAAGUGGCAUACAUCGUGAAGGCUCCCCAGGUACCGGUUGACAGGCGACCCCUUAUGCCAUGCGCACGCGACUGGGAUUCCAUAGCAGACGACACACAACGGAUAUAUACCGAGAAAGUGAAGUGGCUACAACUCUUCAAGGAUUGAAACGGGCGAAGGAGUUAUGAAAUUUGCUGUGAGCUUUGGUUGUGAGAAAAAGAUCUGGAAGAGAUUUCUUUUGGUGUAAACAAAGUGCAUAUAUAUUCUGUGUGUUCGAAAUGUUAUUGAAUUGGGACAGAAAUAUAUAUUUGAAAAGUGGUCACAUGACGAGAUGAGUUGACGAGACGAUGGAUGCCGGUGCUAUAUAAUAUGGGAAUUGAUAUCACUCGAGCAAUUGGAAAUGUUCGCUGGGAGUGGACGCACUUGCCAGUUUAGCAGCGUGCUUUUCAAGGAAAUAUUGGAAUUGGUUAACUUUGUUUUAUUUAUUGGGAAAGGUGGAUUGGUGCAAUAAACGCGAAUACUGUAAUUUAUUCUUCGGGUGGAUAUUACCGACAAUCCCUGUGUGGAGUAUGGGAGUUAUAAGAAAUACAUAUGAAGAGGAGUCGGACAUAGUGAUCCCUGUGAACGAGCCUUACAAUAGUGAUUGUAUCAUACCAAUGGAAAGUGUAUACGACCGACUGCGCCCCCCACCCCCAUCAUGUGGGUGUGGCACGCGCCCAACAACAACAUGUGAUAGAGAGUCUUCCCCAGCACGGAGCAAUUCCUGGCCCUCAGGCGGUGGUCGGAGACGGGCAAGGCGAUCAGUGGUGCUCUACACGGCAAAUCAUUACACCACCUGUCUUCAUCAUGGAAGUGUUCACUGGUCAACUGGUCAACCGGAACCGGAUACUGGUCAAACGGAAGUGGAAUUACCGGAAGUUAAAAGUAAAAAGGCAAAUUGUGGACGGGUUUGCUGUCCUAAAUGCGGGGCCAGAGGACAUUGGAAUAAGUCCAAAAUGAUGCGAGUGACGGGUCAAUGUAUUUUGUUUCUAAUAAUAGCUUCCUGUGGUGGUUUGAUCAUAAACAACAAUUUCGGUUCGAGCGAACACGCACCAGGAAUAGUGGAUAUAGUUGAGGCAACACAAUUAAAAGGAGUCCACCUACAACCUGUGCCUUUAAGUGAAUUAAAAAGACAAUUACAGCAUACAAAAAAUUACUAUGACUUUUUUACGAAUAUUCCUGAAUAAGAAAGAUUUAUCGAAUGAAUUGAUAGACGAAAUAGUGAACGCCAGGACUAUACAGAAAUUCCUAGGAGCGGAGAAGAAGAGUAGAGAUUACAGCGAGGACUAUGACGAUGAGGACUGGGUUGUGGAUGAAGAGGACAUGCACAUGGAUGAAGAGCAGGAUCGCCUGGAUGAAGAACUUUCGGACGCGAUGUAUCAUAUUGAAGAAAUGGCCAACAGUCCUCUUGGUGAGUGUAAGACGCCGCAGCCAGAGAUUGUCAACGUCAUAGACGAAGAAAACCGACACCGUGUCUACUUCCCACAAUGCACAGUGGUACACCGCUGCAAGAACGUAUCCGGGUGUUGUGGCGCGACGAACAGGGAAUGUGGGCCUAUCACCAUAGAAGUCAUCGAAAAAUCCUUCAUCGUCGUGCAGCUAAUUGGAGACAAUACCCUUCCAGACAAAGAUAUGGUCGAGAAGAAGAGAUUUAUCAACCAUACAGAAUGCGCCUGUAAGGAAAAAACAAGGUCUUCCCAAUUGUGACAGAUACAAGUGUCCAUUUCCUUUCAUGAUGAUGCGCAAAGGGGUUCAGUGCGCAUGUGACUGUGAACAGUCAGCUGAUGAAAACAACUACGUAUGUCAGAGUGUCAAAGAUGGUUUCAUACCGCUACAAGAAAGAGACUUAGCGUGUAUUAAGGCGAAAACGUGUCUAAAACCAGUUUGCACACAUGGUACAUUACAUGUGCAGUCAGGUCACUGUCCGUCGAUUCAAAAUGAUGGCCUUGGAUCUCCAUUCGAUGUUCCGAUAGAGCGACAGACGGAUCGACAUGUUCGACACUUACGACACAAGAAAGGGAGAAACAAGGACAAAGACUUAGGAAAAGGUCAAGAAAAAGCUGGGAAAUAGUCAUACUGUGUUGUCAUGGUAAUCUGUAACCAUGGAAACAAUCUCUACCUCUCCCUCCACCCUGGACCUUAUACGCAUUC